rnacentral:rRNA from 1 species
GAUGAACGCUGGCGGCGUGCCUAAUACAUGCAAGUCGAGCGAAGCGGGGACGGGUGAGUAACACGUGGAUAACCGCCUAUAAGACUGGGAUAACUUCGGGAAACCGGAGCUAAACCGGAUACUUAUAGAUGGAUACGCGCUGCAUUUGCUAGUUGGUAAGGUAACGGCUUACCAAGGCAACGAUGCAUAGACGACCUGAGCUGGUGACCGCGCAAACGGCAACUGUGACACGGUCCAGAAGCCUACGGGAAGCAGCAGUAGAGAAGGUUCAGCAAUGGGCGAAAGCCUGACGGAGGGACGCCGCGUCAGGGAGGAAGGUCUUCAGAUCGUAAAACUCUGUUGUUUGUGAAGCGGUACCUAAUCAGAAAGACACGGCUACCUACGUGCCAGCAGCCGCGGUAAUUC